UAGUCGGCCCAGUCUUCAAUCCAUUCUGCCAGUGAUUUCUGGGAGUUACGCUCGCCAUUAACAGACAACAGAGCAGAGAACGGUGCUGUCUUUUUCAGUUUGAGAGUGGCGGUGUUAUCUGCGUGACCUGGUUCAUCAAUAGUACCCAGGUUAAGCACACUGACGGCACGCAUAUUAUCA
rnacentral:misc_RNA from 1 species